UGGUGUACCAGUUGUCGUGCCAACGGCAUAGCUGGGUAGCUAUGUAUGGACGGGAUAAGUGCUGAAAGCAUCUAAGCAUGAAGCCCCCCUCGAGAUGAGAUUUCCCAACUUCGGUUAUAAGAUCCCUCAAAGAUGAUGAGGUGAAUAGGUUCGAGGUGGAAGCGUAGCGAUACGUGGAGCUGACGAAUACUAAUCGAUCGAAGACUUAAUCAAU
rnacentral:rRNA from 1 species